CUUCUCCGUCCGCACUCCGCAGCCUACAAUGAAAUCCUUGGGAAAGGUGCUUCAAAGACAGUGUAUAAAGGGUUUGAUGAGUAUGAAGGGAU